rnacentral:lncRNA from 1 species
GUAACGUUAGCUAGCUAGCUGUCAGCUGUCUGAUGAUGUAACGUUAGCUAGCUAGCUUCCGCUGUCUGAUGAUUGUAACGUUAGUAGCUAGCUAGCUUCAGCUCUUGAUGAUGUACUUAGCUAGCUAGCAGCUUCAGCUGUCUGAUGAUGUAACGUUGCUAGCUAGCUAGCUUAGCUGUCUGAUGAUGUAACGUUUAGCUAGCUAGCUUCAGCUGUCUGAUGAUGUAACGUUAGCUAGCUAGCGUCAGCGUUGAUGAUGUGUAACGUUAGCUAGCUGCUAGCUUCAGCUGUCUGAUGAUGUUUAGCUAGUAGCUAGCUUCAGCUGUCUGAUGAUGUAACGUUAGCUAGCUAGCUUCAGCUGUCUGAUGAUGUAACGUUAGCUAGCUAGCUAGCUUCAGCUGUCUGAUGAUGUAACGUUAGCUAUCUAGCUUCAGCUGUCUUGAUGAGUAACGUUAGCUAGCUAGCUUCAGCUGUCGAUUGUAAAGUUAGCUAGCUAGCUUCAGCUGUCUGUAUGUAACGUUAGCUAGCUAGCUUCAGCUGUCUUGAUGUAACGUUUAGCUAGCUAGCAGCUUCAGCUUUCUGAUGAUGUAACGUUAGCUAGCUAGCUUCAGCUGUCUGAUGAUGUAACGUUAGCUAGCUUCGCUUCAGCUGUCUGAUGUAACGUUAGCUAGCUAGCUAGCUCAGCUGUCUGAUGAUGUAACGUUAGCUCAGUAGCGUCAGCUGUCUUCGACUUUAUAGCACGCUAAUUUUCACACCAGAACUCAAUUUUGAUCAGAUAAAUUGGCUAGCUAACGAAUAUAUGUCCCCCACACUUUCUCCCUCAACUUCAAGUAGUCCUACUCACAUCUGGGCCAGUCCAUCUACCAUAUGGGCCCAGUCCCAUCUCCCUAUGGGCAACAGUCCCAUCUACUAUGGGCCGUCCAUCUACAUACUGGGACCAAGUCCUUUCUACCAUACUGGGCCCAGUCCUAUCUACACAUCUGGGUCAGUCUAUCUACCAUACGGGUCCAGUCCUAUCUACCAUACUGGGUCCAGUCCCUUCUACCAUACUGGGGCCAGUCCCUUUUACCCAUACUGGGUCCAGUCCCUUCUACCAUACUGGGCCCAGUCCUAUCUACUGGGUCCAGUCGAGAGUGUACCGGGUCAGUCCUAUCUACCAUCUACUGGUCCAGUCCUAUCUACCAUACUGGGUCCAGUCAUUGGUACAGUACUACCACCUACUGUACGUUCUACAUGUCUAUCGUUUCUUACCUGACCAUGUCAUGUACCUAAGCUACUGUCAGAUAAUGUUGUUGUCUACUCUGUAGCAGAACUGUUAUGCUAACAGAACUAGUAGAGAAAGCAUUUAGACUGUACGUGUUGGACAUGUUAUGCUAACAGAACAUAGCUAGUAGAAAGCACUUUUGACUGUACGUGUUGGGACCUGUUAUGCUAACAUACAUUAGCUACUGUCAAUAAUGUUGUUUUGACUACUCGUAUCAGAACCUGUUAUGCUAACAGAACAUUAGCUACUGUCAGAUAAUGUUGUGAUACUCUGUAGCAGAACCACUUUAGACUGUACGUGUUGGACCUGUUUGCUAACAGAACAUUAGCUAGAAAGCACUUUAGACUGUACGUGUUGGAGGACGUUAUCUAACAGAACAUUGCUAGAGAGCACUUUGAUGUACGUGUUGGACCUGUUAUGCUAACAGAACAUUAGCUACUGUCAGAUAAUGUUGUUUUGAUACUCCGUAUCAGAACCUGUUAUGCUAACAGAACAUAUCUACGUCAGAUAAUGUUGUUUGACUACUCUGUAGCAGACCACCUUUAGACUGUACGGUUUGGGAACUGUUAUGCUAACAGAACAUUAGCUAGAAGCACUUUAGACUGUACGUGUUGGGACCUGUUAUGCUAACAGAACAUUAGCUAGAGAGCACUUUGACUGUACGUGUUGGGACCUGUUAUGCUACAGAACAUUAGCUACUGUCAGAUAAUGUGUUUUGACUACUCCGUAUCAGAACCUGUUAUGCUAACAGACACUUAGUAAUGUCAGAUAAUGUGUUUGACUACUCUGUGCCGAAGCACUUUAGACUGUACAUGUUGGGACCUGUUAUGCUAACAGACAUUAGCUAGAAAGCACUUUAGAUGUACGUCGUUGGGACCUGUUAUGCUAAAGAACAUUAGCUAGAAAGCACUUUAGACUGUACGUGUUGGGACCUGUUAUGCUAACAGAACCUUAGCUAGAGAGCACUUUGACUGUACGUGUUGGGACCGUGAUGCUAACAGAACAUUCAGCGAGAGAGCACUUUAGACUGUACGUGUUGGACCUGUUUGCUAACAGAAACAUUAGCUACUGUCAGAUAAUGUUGUUUUGACUACUCCGUAUCAGAACUGUUAUGCUAACCGACAUUAGUAUGGCAGCUCCAUGUGUGGUUUGGACUCUCCGUAUCAAACUGUUAUGCUAACAGAACUUUAGCUACUGCCAGAUAAUGUGUUUUGACUACUCGGUAGCAGGAACCACUUUAGACUGUACGUGUUGGGACCUGUUAUGCUAACAGAACAUUAGCUAGAAAGCACUUUAGACUGUAUGUGUUGGGACCUGUUAUGCUAACAGUACAUUAGCUAGAAAGCACUUUAGACUGUAGGUGUUGGGACCUGUAAAAAUUACUACAAUUAUACAUUCCUCUAUGAAGCUAAACUGUCUGAUCACUGUAGUGAGUGAUCACCUGCUGCAGGACAUGUYUGAUCACUGUAGUGAGUGAUCACCUGCUGCAGGAAAUGUCUGAUCACUGUAGUGAGUGAUSACCUGCUGCAGGACAUGUCUGACCURUKKUKKWGAGACCAUUAGUGGGACAGGACAUGWCUGACCUGUUGUUGAGACCAUUAGUGGGACAGGACAUGACUGACCUAUGUUGUUGAGAGACCAUUAGUGGGACAGGACAUGACUAUGUUGUUGAGAGACCAUUAGUGGGACAGGACAUGACUAUGUUGUUGAGACCAUUAGUGGGACAGGACAUGACUAUGUUGUUGAGAGACCAUUAGUGGGACAGGACAUGACUAUGUUGUUGAGAGACCAUUAGUGGGACAGGACAUGACUAUGUUGUUGAGAGACCAUUAGUGGGACUUUACAUUAUAGACUUAUAUCAUACCACUGUUAGGUUCUUAUUUUUCAGAGUAAAUAACUCAGACUCUAGAGAAGCUUUAACCAAGUUUAAUCAUUUCCCAAAGGUUCUGUACAGCAGAAAAUCAGACAGCUAAAGAUUUCAGACUUCACAGUUUAUAUACAUCCUACUUAAGACACUCCCCUUUCUCUCCAAUCCCUACAUUUCAUGGCUCCACAGGAAGCUAAUAAAGAGAGUAACAGGAUACCAAACAUUAAAUUACUCUCUUCAGAGAAUCUGUCCUGACCUCAACCUCUCAUCUAAUACCCAGAUGUCUCCCCUGUAUCAACACAUCGCUCUCCUCUCCUCCUGACCUCAACCCCUCCUUCACCUAAUCCACAGAUGUCCAUCGGUCUCUCCCCUGUAUCAACACAUCUCGUCCUGGACCUCAACCCCUCCUUCACCUAAUCCACAGAUGUCCAUCUGUCUCCCCAUGUAUCAACACAUCUCUGUCCUGACCUCAACCCUCCGUCACACCUACCCAGAUGUCAUCUGUCCCCCAUGUAUCAACACAAUCUCGUCCUCACCUCCUGACCUCAACCCCUUCACCUAAUCCACAGAUGUCCAUCUGUCUCCCCAUGUAUCAAACACAUCUCUGUCCUACCUCCUGACCUCAACCCCUCUUCACCUAAUCACAGAUGUCCAUCUGCCUCCCCAUGUAUCAACACUCUCUGUCCUGACCUCACCACCCCCCUUCACCUAAUCCACAGAUGUCCAUCUGUCUCCCCAUGUAUCAACACACUCCUGUCCUCACCUCCUGACCUCACCCCUCCUUAACCUAAUCCACAGAUGUCCAUCGGUCUCCCCCAUGUAUCAACACAUCUCUGUCCUCACCUCCUACCUCAACCCUCCUUCACCUAAUCCACAGAUGUCCACUGUCUCCCCAUGUAUCAACACAUCUCGUCCUACCUCCGGACCCAACCCCUCCUUCACCUAAUCCACAGAUGUCCCCUGUCUCCCCCCAUGUAUCACACAUUCUGUCCUGACCUCAACCCCUCCUUCACCUAAUCCACAGAUCCAUCUGUCUCCCCACCAGUAUCAACACAAUCUCUGUCCUCACCUCCUGACCUCAACCCCUCCUUCACCUAAUCCACAGAUGUCCAUCUGUCUCCCCAUGUAUCAACACAUCUCUCUCCUCUCCUCCUGACCUCAACCCCUCCUUCACCUAAUCCACAGAUAUCCAUCUGUCUCCCCCAUGUAUCAACGCAUUGCUGUCCUCUCCUCCAUCAAACACAUUCCAAAGCCUUCUGUCUUUCUUCAGAGAUCCAUUCUAACAGAACACCCAGUCUCUUUCAUUUCCUAUCAUUCAUUUACUAUCUCAAUGUUUAGCACAUUCAUUCUUCCCAUGACAGACUGACCAGGUGAAUCCAGGAUCCCUUAUUGAUGUCACCUUAAAUUCACUUCAAUCAGUGUAGAUGAAGGGGAGGAGACGGGUUAAAUAAUGAUUCUUUGCCAUUCAGAGGGUGAAUGGGCAAGAAAAGAUUGAAAUCAAAUUUGAUUAGUCACAAUGCAGUAAAAAAUAAUGAAUAAGAACUAAAAUUAACAAAUAAUUAAAGAGCAGCAGUAAUAAUAAUCAUAGCGAGACUAUAUGCAGGGGGUACCGGCUAGUAAUGAGACUAUAUGCAGGGGGCACCGGUUAGUAAUGAGACUAUAUGCAGGGGGCACCGGUUAGUAAUGAGACUAUAUACAGGGGGUACCGGUACAGAGUCAAUGUGCGGGGUCACCGGUGUCAUACCUCUGCACCAUCUCUCUGUCUCCUACACCCAGGAUGCUGUGGUCAGAGAGGUCGUAAAUUCCUGGAGGAGAAUAUCUCCUCAUGGCCAGAGUAUUUAGAGAAAGUGAGUUUUCAUAUAGAGAGAGAAGGAGGAUAUACACCCAAAAGGGUCACGUUGUGGCAAUACAGACAGGUGGUUAGUAAAGUAACCUGGAGUAAAGUGAGCCGGUACUCCAGAGGUGAAGAGAGGGCAGGGUGAAAGAAGAGGCCUAAAGUGCAGGUAGGAGCCGUCUAGAAGAGGCCUAAAGGGCAGGAAGGAGCCGUCUAGAAGAGGCCUAAAGGACAGGAAGGAGCCGUCUAGAAGAGGCCUAAAGGGCAGGAAGGAGCAGACUAGAAGAGGGUUGGUCAGUGUCCUCCUAGUCCUCACUGGCUCCGUGGUCAGUAAGGAUCCUUCCUCUGGCUCAGGAGGGGUCGACUAGCUCAACAGGUAGCACUACGGAUCACCUCCAUCCACCUGGAGACAGACAGACAGGUUAGAGACAGACAGGUAGCACUACGGAUCACCUCCAUCCACCUGGAGGAAGACACAGGUAGCACUACCAAACACCCACACUACUGAAAACAACAAGACAACACCACACUACUGAAGACAACACCACACCACUGAAGACAACACCCACACACCACUAAGACAACACCACACCACUGAAGACAACACCACACUACUGAAGACAACACCACUGAAGACAACACCACACCACUGAAGACAACAAGACAACACAACAAGACACACCACACUACUGAAGACAACACCACACUACUGAAGACAACACCACGAACA